rnacentral:tRNA from 1 species
GAGGGUAUAGCUCAAGUGGUACAGCACAUGCUUAGAACACAUGAGGUCCUAGGUACAAUCCUCAGUACCUCCU